AAAAACAAAAGAAGAAGAAGAAGAUCCACACUUCCGGGUGGUGAUGACGUCGCGUCGUGACGUCAUAUUUCAAAAUGGCAGAGCCCGCGGAAAGACCCCCUGGAGUCGACUCCAUUUCCCAAGAAAAGAUGUCAACAGUGCGACUUGUAACAAUUAUAAGGCCGAGGAGGGUUAUUUGAACACACACCAUUCAAUUAUUAUAAAUGAAAGUCACGUUUUUUUAACCGCUCCGGUCUCGUCCCAGCGGAAGUGACGCUAGCACGUCAUCAGAAUACAACAGAUCAACACGACGAGAGAGACAUUCUGCCGCUAGACAAAGGUCACCGAGCAGCGACGAAGUUUGCAUUUUCGGUAGAGGUCCAGGGAGCCACGAGGGCGGUGCUAAAGAGACGCGGGUUGCUGACCCCCGGCCUACACCCUAGACUGGCCGCCAGUUCAUCGCAGGACACAUGAAAAAGCCUUCGCCCUCAAAUCAGAGAAAAACAACAACACCAGAAAUGUGUCCCGUGAAAAACCGUCCGACCAGAACUCUAGUAACUAAAGUUCCUUGGGUGAAUAAUGGUAACUCACUACACCGGUAUGUUUUAGGGCUUUCAUGGCGAGUUUACUGACUGAAAUAAGUAAUAACUUUACACUGCUUUUUAUUAGAAAUGGCAACAGCAGAGGAUGGAUGUCCCAUAACAAGAAGGUGGAGAAAAAGAAGAAGCUUAUCGACUACGGUGUCGGCACGGACUACAAAGGCGGACCUGCACAAAUUUUCAGGUACCAGAAGGUGUUUUCACAGCCCCCAUCAAGGGAAUUUACUUUGUCACCCUCACCUGUGGCAAAACAUCUUCUAGCCUGUACGCAUGUGUGUUGAAGAAGGACAAAGACAAGAUGGUCACAGUGUUACUACGGCAAGAGGAAGGACAAAGACAAGAUGGUCACAGUGUUACUACGGCAAGAAGAAGGACAAAGACAAGAUGGUCACAGUGUUACUAUGGCAAGAAGGACAAAGACAAGAUGGUCACAGUGUUACUACAGCAAGAAGAAGGACAAAGACAAGAUGACCACAGUGUUACUACGGCAAGAAGAAGGUCAAAGACAAGAUGGUCACAGUGUUACUACGACAAGAAGAAGGACAAAGACAAGAUGGUCACAGUGUUACUACGGCAAGAAGAAGGACAAAGACAAGAUGGUCACAGUGUUACUACGGCAAGAAGAAGGACAAAGACAGGAUGACCACAGUGUUACUACAGCAAGAAGAAGGACAAAGACAAGAUGGUCACAGUGUUACUACGGCAAGAAGAAGGACAAAGACAGGAUGACCACAGUGUUACUACAGCAAGAAGAAGGACAAAGACAAGAUGGUCACAGUGUUACUACGGCAAGAAGAAGGACAAAGACAAGAUGACCACAGUGUUACUACGGCAAGAAGAAGGACAAAGACAAGAUGGUCACAGUGUUACUACGGCAAGAAGAAGGUCAAAGACAAGAUGGUCACAGUGUUACUACGGUAAGAAGAAGGUCAAAGACAAGAUGGUCACAGUGUUACUACAGCAAGAAGAAGGUCAAAGACAAGAUGGUCACAGUGUUACUACAGCAAGAAGAAGGUCAAAGACAAGAUGGUCACAGUGUUACUACGGCAAGAAGAAGGACAAAGACAAGAUGACCACAGUGUUACUACAGCAAAAGAAGGACAAAGACAAGAUGGUCACAGUGUUACUACGGCAAGAAGAAGGUCAAAGACAAGAUGACCACAGUGUUACUACGGCAGGAAGGUCAAAGACAAGAUGAUCACAGUGUUACUACGGCAAGAAGAAGGACAAAGACAGGAUGACCACAGUGUUACUACAGCAAGAAGGACAAAGACAAGAUGGUCACAGUGUUACUACGGUAAGAAGGACAAAGACAAGAUGGUCACAGUGUUACUACGGCAAGAAGAAGGUCAAAGACAAGAUGGUCACAGAGUUAUUACGGCAAGAAGAAGGACAAAGACAAGAUGGUCACAGUAUUACUACAGCAAGAAGAAGGACAAAGACAAGAUGGUCACAGUGUUACUAUGGCAAGAAGAAGGUCAAAGACAAGAUGGUCACAGUGUUACUACGGUAAGAAGAAGGACAAAGACAGGAUGACCACAGUGUUACUACGACAAGAAGAAGGACAAAGACAGGAUGACCACAGUGUUACUACAGCAAGAAGGACAAAGACAAGAUGGUCACAGUGUUACUACGGUAAGAAGGACAAAGACAAGAUGGUCACAGUGUUACUACGGCAAGAAGAAGGUCAAAGACAAGAUGGUCACAGUAUUACUACAGCAAGAAGAAGGACAAAGACAAGAUGGUCACAGUGUUACUACGGCAAGAAGAAGGUCAAAGACAAGAUGGUCACAGUGUUACUACGGUAAGACAAAGACAGGAUGACCACAGUGUUACUACGACAAGAAGAAGGACAAAGACAGGAUGACCACAGUGUUACUACAGCAAGAAGGACAAAGCCAAGAUGGCCACAGUGUUACUACGGUAAGAAGGACAAAGACAAGAUGGUCACAGUGUUACUACGGCAAGAAGAAGGUCAAAGACAAGAUGGUCACAGAGUUAUUACGGCAAGAAGAAGGACAAAGACAAGAUGGUCACAGUAUUACUACAGCAAGAAGAAGGACAAAGACAAGAUGGUCACAGUGUUACUACGGCAAGAAGAAGGACAAAGACAAGAUGGUCACAGUGUUACUAUGGCAAGAAGAAGGUCAAAGACAAGAUGGUCACAGUGUUACUACGGUAAGAAGAAGGACAAAGACAGGAUGACCACAGUGUUACUACGGCAGCGGUAGCAACAGCACUUUGAUGGAAGUGAAUGUGGGAGACAGUCUCGAGGUUAUGUUGUCUAAUGGUUUCACUAUCUACUGUGACUCAUCUAUAUUUAACACCUUCAAUGUCUUUCUCAUCAAACACACCUGCAAGUGAGUUCUGAUCCUCUUAUUGGUAAUUUUGAAACAGUAUCAUAUGCAUAUUG